GCCGCGCCACCGCCCGCCUCCCCGCCACGAGACGGGGAUGGAGAGGAGCGCGGGGAAGCGGUGCGCCGAAGAUCAAGAGGAAAAUGAUCAAAGGAGGCAUGUGGGCUCAGCCUCCCCUCCCGCUCGCCCUCGAGGAUCCCGUCCUGCCCAGGAGGGAAACUGAGGCAGGAAUCAAGCAGCCCUCUCCCUGGCCCCCUGCACCCCCAGCCCUGCGCAGCUGUGCAGGGGGGGCACGAUGCAGCCCCCCUACUCCCCCAGGGGCUCUCUGUAGGACGUGGCACGGGAAAGGGACGAGCCCCCCGUGAGGGCCAAGAGGCAGCGGAGAGCUGGAAACUUCCUCGGGUGCCGGCGCAUUUCAUCUCAAAACCUGUUUUAUCUUUAAUAAACCUGAGCACCUGGUCGAACA